AGUGAACGCUGGCGGUAGGCCUAACACAUGCAAGUCGAACGGCAGCACAGUAAGAGCUUGCUCUUACGGGUGGCGAGUGGCGGACGGGUGAGGAAUACAUCGGAAUCUACUUUUUCGUGGGGGAUAACGUAGGGAAACUGACGCUAAUACCGCAUACGACCUACGGGUGAAAGCAGGGGAUCUUCGGACCUUGCGCGAUUGAAUGAGCCGAUGUCGGAUUAGCUAGUUGGCGGGGUAAAGGCCCACCAAGGCGACGUUCCGUAGCUGGUCUGAGAGGAUGAUCAGCCACACUGGAACUGAGACACGGUCCAGACUCCUACGGGAGGCAGCAGUGGGGAAUAUUGGACAAUGGGCGCAAGCCUGAUCCAGCCAUACCGCGUGGGUGAAGAAGGCCUUCGGGUUGUAAAGCCCUUUUGUUGGGAAAGAAAAGCAGCAGGUUAAUACCCCGCUGUUCUGACGGUACCCAAAGAAUAAGCACCGGCUAACUUCGUG
rnacentral:rRNA from 1 species